rnacentral:rRNA from 1 species
CACGCAGGUUNGAGCGGAAACGACAUUAUUGAAUCUUCGGAGGAUUUAGAUGGGCGUCGAGCGGCGGACGGGUGAGUAAUGCCUAGGAAAUUGCCUUGAUGUGGGGGAUAACCAUUGGAAACGAUGGCUAAUACCGCAUAAUGCCUACGGGCCAAAGAGGGGGACCUUCGGGCCUCUCGCGUCAAGAUAUGCCUAGGUGGGAUUAGCUAGUUGGUGAGGUAAUGGCUCACCAAGGCGACGAUCCCUAGCUGGUCUGAGAGGAUGAUCAGCCACACUGGAACUGAGACACGGUCCAGACUCCUACGGGAGGCAGCAGUGGGGAAUAUUGCACAAUGGGCGAAAGCCUGAUGCAGCCAUGCCGCGUGUAUGAAGAAGGCCUUCGGGUUGUAAAGUACUUUCAGUUGUGAGGAAGGGUGUGUAGUUAAUAGCUGCGCAUCUUGACGUUAGCAACAGAAGAAGCACCGGCUAACUCCGUGCCAGCAGCCGCGGUAAUACGGAGGGUGCGAGCGUUAAUCGGAAUUACUGGGCGUAAAGCGCAUGCAGGUGGUUCAUUAAGUCAGAUGUGAAAGCCCGGGGCUCAACCUCGGAACUGCAUUUUGAAAACUGGUUGAACUAGAGUGCU